GGGAUUCACGAACAGACUGACGGGAAGGUUUCAAGCUCCUGAUAGGCAUGCUGGGAAGCUGCCCAAAGCGAGGCCCGCGGUUCGGUCAAAAUUCGUCUGCAGGCGAUCGUCUGCGUUUGUUAUGGUUUAACUUUUUCACAUCGAACUUUAAUACAGAUUGAUUUUGACUGGCUAUCUUGCUCUGGAAUUGUCUGAAGAACAUAUGCUGCGCACAAACAACUCGAAGUGACUGGGCGGAGGGACAUUCACGACAAACUUCUCGCAACUGGUACAGAGCUGUCUGCAGUGCUCCAACAUCCUUCUUCUGCAUGAUUUGUAAGCAGGACCAGCCCAUGGACAUCCAUAGGUGCCGAGACAUUCUGUUUGAGCUGCUUGGAACUCCACCAUGAGAAUUCGCUCAACCUCCCAGAAGUAUGGACGAAUACAAGUACGUUUCCAACCCACAUGGAUCCUAAAGCCUGUCUGUGGUGCUGUGACGACUUAUUAAUAGAUGUACAACUGGAUCAUCACCCAGAGCCCUUAAAGUGUAUGAUGAUGCAGGACGACCACAUGUUGUGGCUGUGCUCUUCUAUCACUGUGAACCGGAACCAUUCACUCAUCUCUGACUUGGACUGUGGCCAGCAAGAACAGACAGACCUGAAACAG